CCUACGAGGGGCUGCAGUGGGGAAUCUUGCACACUGGGGGAAACCCUGAUGCAGCGACGCCGCGUGAGUGUACAAGUAUUUCGGUAUGUAAAGCUCUAUCAGCAGGGAAGAAGCAAGACGGUACCUGACUAAGAAGCCCCGGCUAACUACGUGCCAGCAGCCGCGGUAAUACGUAGGGGGCAAGCGUUAUCCGGAUGGACUGGGUGUAAAGGGAGCGUAGCCGGCUGUGCAAGUCUGAAGUGAAAGCCCAGGGCUCAACCCUGGGACUGCUUUGGAAACUGUGGAGCUAGAGGGCUGGAGAGGUAAGUGGAAUUCCUAGUGUAGCGGUGAAAUGCGUAGAUAUUAGGAGGAACACCAGUGGCGAAGGCGGCUUACUGGACAGUAACUGACGUUGAGGCUCGAAAGCGUGGGGAGCGAACAGGAUUAGAUACCCCUGUAGUC
rnacentral:rRNA from 1 species